rnacentral:rRNA from 1 species
UUUAUGGAGAGUUUGAUCCUGGCUCAGGAUGAACGCUGGCGGCGUGCCUAAUACAUGCAAGUCGAGCGAACGGAUGAGAAGCUUGCUUCUCUGAUGUUAGCGGCGGACGGGUGAGUAACACGUGGAUAACCUACCUAUAAGACUGGGAUAACUUCGGGAAACCGGAGCUAAUACCGGAUAAUAUUUUGAACCGCAUGGUUCAAAAGUGAAAGACGGUCUUGCUGUCACUUAUAGAUGGAUCCGCGCUGCAUUAGCUAGUUGGUAAGGUAACGGCUUACCAAGGCAACGAUGCAUAGCCGACCUGAGAGGGUGAUCGGCCACACUGGAACUGAGACACGGUCCAGACUC